GUGGGGGGGGUCCGUGUUUGCGAUCUGAACCUUUGGUACCUACAAGGAGGGUGUCUCACCGAACGGUAGCUAAGAUCUCACCAGAACCGCGCGGAAGUGAGGAGUCGCGGCCAAAGGCGCCCGCUGGAGCCUCCUCUCUGGGCCGGACCCCAGCCCGAGCCGCGAAAGGAGCCCCCCGCCCGGAUCACAGCAGCUGCAGCUGCCGCUGAAAUUCGCUGUGGCCGCUGCCUCUUCCCGCUUUAAUCCCAGACCUCCAGUCAUUGGGCAGCUCCUCAGAGGCAAGAAGUCAACACCAUGGCAACCCGACAAGCCUAUCAAAUCACGGGCUGGCGUGACAGCAGCAACACUGCAGGCAGAAGUGGGCUGGGCGGAAGAGCAGAGUGGCCACUGCGCUCAGGGUGCUGUGAAGACCAGAAUUGGGCCAAUGCAGUUUGCUUUCAACUAUCAUGGUGGAAACAGAGAACAUCAGAGAGGAAUAAAACGAUUCCAUCAUUUUUAUGUGACUCAUAUGCAAAACAAAAUUUGCUCAUCUGUGUGGUCUACUGAUUGGAAAUAAAAUCAGAUAUUUCAUCUAACUUCAUCAAGUAAAAGAAAAAUCAGUGUGAUUCCAAGAAGAGAUGAACUCAUUUGAAAAAUCACACAGAAUGAGAAAUAACCAUGGAGGGACAACCAUUUUACUCUGGAAGAGAAUCCUUACUCACACACCUUUUGAAAUUAUUUUUAGCACAUGGUCUUGGGUUUUCAGUCUUUGAACUUCUUCUAUGACACAGGGACAAACUCAAAAACCCGAAAACUGCAGAAGUCAGAUACUGGAAAACUCUAAUAAAAGUGGACAUGUUUGACAGCUGACAAACAUGAGUUUGAUGAAGCAUGACAAAUAUUGAUGUGUUUCAUGAAUAUGUGUGUGUCUUUUGAGAGAACUUGAUCACUAAGAUGGAUGAAAGGCAGAUCACUAAUAAAUCUCUGUUUUUAACUUUGAAAAGAGGAAAGAAAUAUGAAGAGUUAAGAAGAGAAGUACUAUCAAACAGCUGAAUUCUUAGUUGGCAAAAUUUACACCAAAUCCUUUUGAGUGUACACCCAAUCUGAAAUUGUCUUUUUGCUUUACUUAUUUCCUUCUUUGUUUUAUCUCUUUAUUUAGAAUGUCAGAUCCAAAAUGGCAAGGAUCCUGUAUAUUUUGCUCAUCACUUUAACCCAUUUCCGAAUGCCUAAGGCCAUUGUAUGUGCUCAGUAAAAAAUUAUUCAGUGAAUGAAUGAAUGAAUGAAUGGAGUGAAGAAAUUUUGAUUCCGAUUUUUGCUUGCAACUAAAUAGCUGGAAGACUUUGGGAUAAUCACUUCUUAGAGGGUCAUUUUUUUCACUUUUAAAAUCAUGGCAUAGGGGGUGCCUGGUUGGCUCAGUGAGUAGAGUAUGUGACUCUUGAUCUUGAGGUCACAAGGGUUUGAACUUCAAGCCCUACACUGGGCAUAGAACCUACUUAAGUAAGAAAACAAAUGAUGGUAUAGCCUAGUUAGCUAAUAUUUCUUGCAAUACUAAUAUUCAUUGAUGGCACACAUGAUAACCACCUAAUGGUUUUACAGGAAAUUUCACUUAUGUGACGGAUUUUAUUUGACCAAUCUUUGUUGUUGUUGUUGUUUAUGGAACACUUAUCCAAGAUGAAAUUAUUUAUGAUGUUAAUUAUCAAUGCUCUUUUUAAUGUCUGCUUUU